UACGAAGGGGGCUAGCGUUGUUCGGAUUUACUGGGCGUAAAGCGCACGUAGGCGGAUUGUUAAGUCGGGGGUGAAAUCCUGGAGCUCAACUUCAGAAUUGCCUUCGAUACUGGCUUUCUAGAGGCUGGAAGAGGUUAGUGGAACUCCUGGUGUAGCGGUGGAAUGCGCAGAUAUCAGGAAGAACACCGGUGGCGAAGGCGGGUCUCUGGGCAGUAACUGACGCUGAGGAGCGAAAGCGUGGGGAGCGAACAGG
rnacentral:rRNA from 1 species